rnacentral:rRNA from 1 species
CCCCCUCCUAAAUUCAAACGCCUCAACCUCCUCCAUCCAGCCGCCGCGAGCCCCCGCCUCGCCCUCGCGGAGAUGGGCGGCGACGGGCCGGCGAUCGGCGUCGACCUCGACACGACCUACUCGUGCGUGGCCGUGUGGCGGCCGUCCCACAACCGCGUGGAGGUCGUCCCGAACGACCAGGGGAACCUCACCACGCCGUCCUGCGUCGCCUUCACCGACGCCUGGCGGCUCAUCGGCGACGCGGCUCUCAACCAAGCCGCAAGGAACCCCGUCAACACCGUCUUCGAUGCGAAGCGACUGAUUGGCCGGCGAUUCAACGACGCGUCUGUGCAAGGAGAUAUCAAGCUAUGGCCUUUCAAAGUCAUUCCAGGCCCUGCUGACCGACCGAUGAUGGCGGUUCAGUACGGGGGUGAGGACAAGCAUUUCACGGCAGAAGAGAUCUCCUCCAUGAUACUUGUUAAGAUGAAGGAGACUGCCGAGGCCUACCUCGGCAUGUCGGUGAAGAACGUCGUCAUCACUGUCCCGGUUUACUUCAACGACUCCCAGCGCCAGGCCACCAUUGAUGCCGGUGCGAUUGCUGGCCUCAACGUCCUGCGCAUCAUCAACGAACCCUCCGCAGCAGCUAUUGCCUACGGCCUUGACAAGAUGCCCGGCAGCGGUGAAGCGAAGACGGUACUCAUCUUUGAUCUCGGCGGCGGUACUAUGGAUGUCUCCAUUAUCAGUGUACAAAAUGGUGUCUUCACGGUCAAGGCCACGUCUGGUGACACCCACCUGGGCGGGCAGGAUCUCAACAACCGGAUGGUGGAACACUUUGUGCAAGAUUUCCUCAAGAAACACAAGAGUGACAUCAGAGGCAGCCCGAGGGCGGUCAUGCGGCUGAGGACGGCCUGCGAGAGGGCCAAGAGGAUGCUGUCCUCCACGGUGGAGGCCAAAUUCGAGAUCGACAAGCUGCACGACAGCAUUGACUACUAUGGGAGGAUCACUCGUGCCCGUUUCGAGGAGCUCAACAUGGACCUCUUCCGCAAGUGCAUCGAGCACGUCGAGAAAUGCCUCAGCGAUGCCAAGAUGGACAAGUCUCAGAUCCAUGACGUUGUGCUCGUGGGCGGCUCCACCCGGAUCCCCAAGGUGCAGCAGCUGCUCCAGGAUUUCUUUGAUAGGAAGACGCUCUGCAAGAGCAUCAACCCCGAUGAGGCCGUCGCCCACGGUGCUGCCGUCCAGGCCGCCGUCCUCAGUGGUGAGUGCGACCGCAAGGGGCAGGACUUCCUCCUGCUGGACGUCACUCCACUCUCGCUCGGGGUCGAGAUAUAUGACUCGCGAGUGCAGCCCCAUAUACCUGGUUUCAUGAGCGUGCUGGUUCCCCGGAACACCACCAUCCCUGUUAAGAGGGAGGGGCGGUACACGACUGAAUUCGACAACCAGAAGAGCGUGCGCAUCAAGGUGUAUGAGGGUGAAGGGGCAUGGACCAAGGACAACAGGCUUCUGGGAGAGUUCAUGCUCGAGGGCCUCGUCCCAGCGCCAAGGGGCGUGCCGAAGAUCAUUGAAACCAUGGAAGUCGAAGCGAACGGCAUCCUGAAGGUGACGGCGGUGGACAUGACGACCGGGAGCAAGAAGAGCAUCAACAUCACGACCAACAAGGGCGGGCUGAGCAAGGAGGAGAUCGAACGCAUGGUGAAGGACGCCGAGAAGUACAGGUCCGAGGACAGGAAGAGGAUAAUGAAAAUGAAGAAGGAAGACGAGGAGGGCUGGCUGAGCAAGGCUGAUUUUGAGAGGAUAGUGCCGAAUAGCAAGAUGCAAGUGAAGAAAAUAAAGAUGGAAGACGAUGAUGAGGGUUGGCUGAGCAAGGAGGAGUUUGAGCGGACGGUGCAGCAUGCAAAGAAGCAGAGGAAGCAAAUAAAGGAUGAAGCCGGA